AAAAUGGAAAUGGAAAGGGAACUUUUCUCUUUCCCAUGCACUGGGAGGUGCAUAAAUUCAGAAGGCAGAAAUAUGUGAACUGCUGAGAGAGGUGGGUACUUUUUGAAGCAAUCAAAGGGUUGAAAGAUUGAUUCGGCAUGUAGAUUGGAUUUAAUUCGAAGCAGCUUUGUUCUAAUGAGGACUACUGGGAUACAAAGACGGCAGCCGCUUAUGGCCACCAGUUGGGAACUUCGACUCGCAGCAACCUGUCAAGAAUUUCAAGAAACUGCCAGAGAAAUACAGCUCAGUGUUGGCUUGGAAGCUCUUGUGUCCUUGUUGGGUGACCCAGCAGAACUGCCGGAUCCGUACUGCUUCCAGGGGAAAAGCCUGUAA
rnacentral:lncRNA from 1 species